GGGUAUGUAACUCAGUGAUAGAGUAUUUGCCUAGAAUGCACAAGGCACUGUGUUCAAUUCCCAGUACCACCA
rnacentral:tRNA from 1 species